rnacentral:tRNA from 1 species
GCGCCCUUAGCUCAACGGAUAGAGUGAUGGCCUCCGGAGCCGUAGAUAAAGGUUCGAUCCCUUUAGGGCGCG